UAGGGAAUAUUGGACAAUGGGCGCAAGCCUGAUCCAGCCAUGCCGCGUGAGUGAUGAAGGCCCUAGGGUUGUAAAGCUCUUUCAACGGUGAAAAUAAUGACGGUAACCGUAGAAGAAGCCCCGGCUAACUUCGUGCCAGCAGCCGCGGUAAUACGAAGGGGGCUAGCGUUGUUCGGAAUUACUGGGCGUAAAGCGCACGUAGGCGGAUAUUUAAGUCAGGGGUGAAAUCCCGGGGCUCAACCUCGGAACUGCCUUUGAUACUGGGUAUCUUGAGUAUGGAAGAGGUAAGUGGAAUUGCGAGUGUAGAGGUGAAAUUCGUAGAUAUUCGCAGGAACACCAGUGGCGAAGGCGGCUUACUGGUCCAUUACUGACGCUGAGGUGCGAAAGCGUGGGGAGCAAA
rnacentral:rRNA from 1 species